AGCGAACGCUAGCGGCGGGCCUAACACAUGCAAGUCGAGCGCGUAGCUUCGGCUACGAGCGGCGGACGGGUGAGUAACACGUAGGUCAUCUACCCUUUGGUGGGGAAUAACCCGAGGAAACCCGGGCUAAUACCGCAUAUGGUCUCCGGAUCAAAGCCUUCGGGCGCCAGAGGAUGAGCCUGCGUCGCAUUACCUAGUUGGUAGGGUAAUGGCCUACCAAGGGGACGAUGCGUAGCUGGUCUGAGAGGAUGAUCAGCCACACUGGGACUGAGACACGGCCCAGACUCCUACGGGAGGCAGCAGUGGGGAAUAUUGCGCAAUGGGGGAAAGCUUGAUCCAGCAAUACUCCAUGAGUGAUGACAGCUUUCAAGUUGUAAAACUCUUUAAUUGAUGAGGAUAAUGACAGUAAUCAAUCGAAUAGCCCCGGCUAACUUCGUGCCAGCAGCCGCGGUAAUAC
rnacentral:rRNA from 1 species